AAAAUAGGUUGCCGAUUAUAUCCCUUUUGUUGGAUUGUAACCGGAUUUUGAAUCUAUGGUUAAUGUACAUUGAUGAACUGUGUUUAGCCCAUUUGGCUAUGUUCAAUCAUUUUUUAAAAAGGUUUCGGAUUAUAAGCAUUGUGCUGGAUUGUAACCGGAUUUUGAAUUUAUGAUUAAUGUAUAUUGACGAACUUAUUUUAGCCGAUUAUAUCCAUUGUGUUGGAUGGUAACCGGUUUUUGAAUUUAUGAUUAAUGUAUAUUGAUGAACUGUGUUUAGCCCAUUUGGCUAUGUUCAAUCAUUUAUAAAAGAAUAGGUCGCCGACUAUAUCCAUUGUGUUUGAUGGUAACCGGAUUUUGAAUUUAACAUUAAUGUAUAUUGAUGAACUGUGUUUAGCCCAUUUGACUCUGUUCUUUCAUUAACAAAAUGGUUGCCGAUUAUAUAAUUUGUGUUGAUGGUAACCGGAUGGUUGCCGAUUAUAUACUUUGUGUUGGGAUGGUAAUCGGAUUUUUAAUUUAUGAUUAAUGUAUAUUGAUGAACUGUGUUUGCCCAUUUGGCUAUGUUCUAUCAUAAAAAAGAGAGUUGCCCAUUAUAAUCAUUGUGUUGGAUGGUAAUUAGAUUUUGAAUUCAUGACUAAUGUAUAUUGAUGAACUUAUUUUAGCCCAUUUGUUAAAUGAUUGACCAUUUCAGUCUUAUUGACUGAUUGCCCACUAUAGACAUUGUGUAUGCUGGUGACAUGAUUUUGAAUUGAUGUGCUGCCAGAUUGCAAAUUUGUCAUAUUUUCCUUUCUAUCUCAAAGUUUAUUCCGGGCUGGCGACAAAUUUACAUAUAUUAAUAUACUUUAUGCCAAAUUGUCAAGUAUACAAUUAAAUAUUUCUAGACAAUGUCACGAUCAACACGUCAAAAACCCAAGGAGUUCCGCAACACAGUCCAGAUGGUACAGCCACACCGCAACGCCACCCAGCCGUUUCAGCCCCACAACCGGUGAAUCUGAACCCGCAACAACUUGUUGUUGUGGUGAGCCUUGUUGCAGAACACCAUUGUUCCGUGUUUGCGCAGCGAAGGAGCAUUUUGGCUGAUGAUUCGCUGCACUGUCAGACAGUGUUGAACAAAAUGAAUCACGUAGCUACCAAUCAAUAUCGUUCUAUGAACUCGUCACUUGGACCUCGUGGAAACUUCAGAUAGCCAAAACCGGCAUCUCAAAGAUGCGUCUUCUUCCUCAGUUCAGUACACUUCUUUAGACAGAGUGACGGAGCUAUUGUUUCAUUAGUGCAAUAUUGCGAAAUGGCUAAAGUUGGCAUCAAAUCUGCAUUUCGCCUUUUGUGGUUCAUAAUUAUGAUUUUGAAAUUAUUAGCCUUCAAAUUAGGAGGGGAUUAUUUUACAGACAAGACGUACCUAUGAGUGUGCAAUCUCUUGCUGCCAUUGGGAAAAGUUUGUUAAUUUAUUACAAUAGCUGGUCCGGUACAAGAGGAAAUCCGAAAGGCUGUUUUAUUACUUGGAUAAUUAUGUUUGUUUGGCUCGCUCUAAUUCAGGGAAUGUAUGGCCAGUUUGUUCUGUUUUAUAGAUAUAUGCAAAUACCUUAACAUACCCGUAGCAAAAAAAAAAAAAAAAAAAAAAAAAUGCAAGCCUAAGUUGAUCUCUUAAUUUCUGUAGCAGAACCAUUCCCUUUCUAGACUUUUUGGUAGUGGUUUCUAUGCUAUUAUGUGCAAUUUGGUUAAAAGUUCACAUCAUUUAAGAGUGACCAGUUCAAUAACAGAUGAUAUGGUUAUCAUUUUGUUUGACAGUUUUAAUGGUUACUGCAGCUUCCACGACUUACUUCCUUGUUCUCGGUGCUUCCGAGGGAUCUACUUUUCAGAUUUUACACUGAUUGGAUAGUUCUGUCCUAAACUUCUUUACUGAUUUUACAGUUUUCAGCAGUAUUUUCCCUGACCAUUUUUUGAUUUUUAAGAAUAUGUGAGUUUGUACACACGAACUCAAACUCCUCGAAUAUAAGUGCUAAAGGUCACGUAUUAUGUGAGAGAGACGUUAGCAUUGUAAGUAUUGGUGUACUUCGCAUAAUUCUUCAUUCAUCAAAAAACGAUCAGAAAAAGGCGAAGGAGUAGCUAUUCAUUUACAGCCUUGCACAUUGUUCUACUUGACCCCUGGAUUUAAUAGAGAGAUAUAUGGUUGUUCGACCUUCUAGUGCUUCAGACUAGUGAUAAACUACAUUCAUUCAGAGUAGGUGCUGCAACAGCAGCAUGACUGCUUACGAAAUUACAAGAAUGGGGCGUUGCGCCCCGGAUUCAAGUGCAUUUAAAUCUUACAUUAUAAUCCUCUCACGGCAGCUGUUGUCACUCAGAUCUUAAGCCUAUAAGCAGUUUCAUUGUACCUGCCAUCUGUUUGCCCUUUUUUGUUGACAAUUGUUUUCAGCUUUUCAGUGCGUCCUACCCAUAUUUGGAUAGUUGGAUGUUCAAUUAUAAAGUCGGUAUUUCGUUACGACAAGGAAUCAGCUGAGGGUUUUCAGCUUGUAAUGCAGCGCCAUAAUGCGACCAUACUGUGUCAGAGUCAGGGUGGUAUGAAAUGGCGGCAAGUUAAACCAUUAAUCUUACAUUUGUUUCCUUUUGAAGACAAUCAAGGUACAUCUUAUGUGUUCAAGUUCAGCCUACACCUUCCUUGCCUUCAGUCCUUACAGCUUUACAUGGAAUAUUGGCAGUUUUCACAUGUUGAUGUAUGGACAUGACAGUGUUUGUUUUCCAGAACUGUGAAAUGUGUAUGUGUCAUAUAUAAACGUUUAACGUAGUCACUGAUUCUGUAUGUCUGUUUUUGUAUACCUGAUCUCCGUUGAAUUCUGAUCCCAGGUUCGGCGGUUAGGUCAGC
rnacentral:lncRNA from 1 species